rnacentral:rRNA from 1 species
UACAGAGGUCCCAAGCGUUGUUCGGAUUCACUGGGCGUAAAGGGUGCGUAGGUGGUGAGGUAAGUCGGAUGUGAAAUCUCGGAGCUCAACUCCGAAACUGCAUUGGAAACUACCUUGCUCGAGGAAUGGAGGGGGGACUGGAAUUCUCGGUGUAGCAGUGAAAUGCGUAGAGAUCGGGAGGAACAUCUGUGGCGAAGGCGGCCACCUGGACCAACACUGACACUGAGGCACGAAAGCGUGGGGAGCAAACAGG